rnacentral:lncRNA from 1 species
UCCUUUCCUCUGGAAUGGGAAAAGCAGGAAGACUCAUCCACGGGUUGGGAUGAGGCAGGGAAAGCAUUAGCAGAGCGAGCAGCGGUGAAGGUCCACGGCACUGACACAUGCUCCCUGGGGUGGACACUGCAUGGGAGUGGGUCCUCAGGACCUUCACGCAUCCCUGUGCUCCUUCGGGGAACUGGGCCUCGCUGCACACUGUGGGAUUCCCACUGUGAACAAAGGGGACGCCACAGAGACACCCACGUACAGUGGGAACUGCCAAGGACCACGAAGACCCGCAAGGCCCUGCUGGAGCUUGCCCAUCUCUGCUGCCAGGGCUCAGUGGGCACGGCCUCUGCCCUGGGUGCAGCAGCUGCCAGGACACCCUCCGUUGGCUUCCCAGCCCAGGGCGGACCCCUGCCCAUGCCAGGCCAGUCUGCAGCAGUCAGGAGGGAGCUGUGGCAGGUGAAUCUGGCAGAGUUCAAAGGCAUGGAGUUGGCAACAGCAGCACAAGGAGGCUGGAGCUGGAGAGGCCGAGAAUGAGCUGGCCACAUCCAGGCCUCUUCCUCCUCAUCCGCCCAGAGCUCUGCUGGCUCCCGGUGCUCCCCGCUGAGCACUCUCUGGCACAGCGGGUGGAGUGUGAAGUGCCAGACACACCUCCAUCCCACCGAGAUAGGCCAAUGAGGCCCUAGACUGUCAAACAACAGGUAAAUAGAUUUCCAAGCAAGAUAUAUGCAUCAUUAGAAUUAAAUUAAUGGUGGAUUCCAUCAUUUUUCAAAAAUGAUCCAGCAAACCACUCUACAUAAUAGUCCCAACCACAGUGGUGGCUACAUCUGCGUCCCAGCCCACUGCCGGCCAAAGGGCACAGUGCUGUCUCCGUUCGUCCGUCCGCCAGGGCUGUGACCAAACACCUCAGAAAACACCAUAAGGAAGAAAGAAGAGUUUUGGUUCACUGCUGGGGAGGGUUCAGUCCAUUGUCAGCUGGCUCCACGGCUUCGGGGCUGAGGUGGGGAGGAACGUCAUGGUGAAAGGGUGUGUAGACCACAGCUGCUCACCUCAUGGCAGCCAGAAAGCAGAGAACGAAAAAGACGGCGUUCAGGGACACCCUUCCGGAGAGAAACACACCCUUCCAGAGAGAGGCACGACCUUCCAGAGACAGAGACAGAGAGGGAGACCCUUCCCUGACCCACGUCCUCAGCGAGGCCUCACCUCCUCGUCCACUGUUUGUUCCCUCAGCUCCACUCACCUUCCAAAAGCCCAACUCUGAUCCGAACACGAACUCCAUCUCAAAGGUCACAGAUUCUCUGUGGUGGACGGGCCGGAUGUGUCCACUCUGAGCUAUCUGCCAUCUGUCCAGAUGCUCCGGUCUGCAGCUGUGAAGCAGCCGCCCCUGGGUCAUUCACCGCCCCUGGGCAGUGAAUGGAGCUGGCCAUCCUCUCAUCCAACUUUGCCUGUGGCCAUUAACACUUGAGAUCA